CCUACGGGAGGCAGCAGUAAGGAAUAUUGGUCAAUGGAGGCAACUCUGAACCAGCCAUGCCGCGUGCAGGAUGACGGCCCUAUGGGUUGUAAACUGCUUUUGUACCAGAGAAAACCUACUCACGUGUGAGUAGCUGAUAGUAUGGUAAGAAUAAGCAUCGGCUAACUUCGUGCCAGCAGCCGCGGUAAGACGAAGGAUGCAAGCGUUAUCCGGAUUCAUUGGGUUUAAAGGGUGCGUAGGCGGACUUGUAAGUCAGUGGUGAAAUCUCUUCGCUUAACGAAGAAACUGCCAUUGAUACUGCAGGUCUAGAGUAUAGAUGACGUUGGCGGAAUAUGACAUGUAGUGGUGAAAUACUUAGAUAUGUCAUAGAACACCGAUUGCGAAGGCAGCUAACGAAACUAUAACUGACGCUGAGGCACGAAAGUGCGGGGGAUCAAACAGGAUUAGAUACCCUGGUAGUCCGCACCGUAAACGAUGAUUACUCGUUGUUGGCGAUAUGACAGUCAGCGACCAAGCGAAAGCGAUAAGAAUCCACCUGGGGAGUACGCCGGCAACGGUGAAACUCAAAGAGAGUUGNGNGNGAGAGCGACGACGACGACGACGGAGGGAGGAG
rnacentral:rRNA from 1 species